GGAUGAAGAACGUAGCGAAAUGCGAUAAGUAGUGUGAAUUGCAGAAUUCAGUGAAUCAUCGAAUCUUUGAACGCACAUUGCGCCCUUUGGUAUUCCUUAGGGCAUGCCUGUUCGAGCGUCAUUUAAACCUUCAAGCUAAGCUUGGUGUUGGGUGACUGUCCGCUUCACGGCGGACUCGCCUCAAAAUUAUUGGCGGCCGGUACAUUGGCUUCGAGCGCAGCAGAAACGCGAACUCGGGCCCGUCGUAUUGGCUCCCAGAAGCUAUCUUCACAAUUUUGACCUCGGAUCAGGUAGGGAUACCCGCUGAACUUAAGCAUAUCAAUAAGCGGAGGA
rnacentral:misc_RNA from 1 species